UACGUAGGGUGCAAGCGUUAAUCGGAAUUACUGGGCGUAAAGCGUGCGCAGGCGGUUUUGUAAGUCUGUCGGGAAAUCCCCGGGCUUAACCUGGGAAUGGCGAUGGAGACUGCAAGGCUGGAAUCUGGCAGAGGGGGGUAGAAUUCCACGUGUAGCAGUGAAAUGCGUAGAGAUGUGGAGGAACACCGAUGGCGAAGGCAGCCCCCUGGGCUAAGAUUGACGCUCGUGCACGAAAGCGUGGGGAGCAAACAGG
rnacentral:rRNA from 1 species